AGUGGCGGACGGGUGAGUAACGCGUAAGAAUCUAACUUCAGGACGGGGACGACAGUGGGAAACGACUGCUAAUACCCGAUGUGCCGCGAGGUGAAACCUAAUUGGCCUGAAGAAGAGCUUGCGUCUGAUUAGCUAGUUGGUGGGGUAAGAGCCUACCAAGGCGACGAUCAGUAGCUGGUCUGAGAGGAUGAGCAGCCACACUGGGACUGAGACACGGCCCAGACUCCUACGGGAGGCAGCAGUGGGGAAUUUUCCGCAAUGGGCGAAAGCCUGACGGAGCAACGCCGCGUGAGGGAGGAAGGUCUUUGGAUUGUAAACCUCUUUUCUCAAGGAAGAAGUUCUGACGGUACUUGAGGAAUCAGCCUCGGCUAACUCCGUGCCAGCAGCCGCGGUAAUACGGGGGAGGCAAGCGUUAUCCGGAAUUAUUGGGCGUAAAGCGUCCGCAGGUGGUCAGCCAAGUCUGCCGUCAAAUCAGGUUGCUUAACGACCUAAAGGCGGUGGAAACUGGCAGACUAGAGAGCAGUAGGGGUAGCAGGAAUUCCCAGUGUAGCGGUGAAAUGCGUAGAGAUUGGGAAGAACAUCGGUGGCGAAAGCGUGCUACUGGGCUGUAUCUGACACUCAGGGACGAAAGCUAGGGGAGCGAAAGGGAUUAGAUACCCCUGUAGUCCUAGCCGUAAACGAUGGAUACUAGGCGUGGCUU
rnacentral:rRNA from 1 species